rnacentral:lncRNA from 1 species
UUUUAUUUUAUUUUAUUUUAUUUUAUAUAAUUUUAUUUUAUUUUUUAAUUUUUUUAAAGACCAAAACACACUGAGAAAAGCAUAAAAAAAUUGCAGAGGUAGCUGGAAUUUGGAGGCUACCAUAAAAAGCAGACUGGAUAUCUAAGCUGGACAUCUCCCAUCUCCAUUUAUAAUUGAUAAUUGUGUGUUUUUCCCACCAGUCAAAAACAGAGUUAGUUUUAAACAGAUAGAACUGGCUCUUGCCGUUUUCUUGUCAGUGUUAUCUCAUUAGGAUCAAUACUUUUCUUUGCUUUUCUAUAAGCCUGGGAAAAUCAGGGGGAUGGAUUUCCUUUAACAGGAUAAAAUCCUUGCAAAGGACUUUGGAGAGGUGAGAUAAGAAAUUAACAUUAAAAAGGUGAUCGCUAUCUGUGCAGAGGUUUUGCUGCUGGAGCCCACCUGAAGCUUGUUUUCCAGCACAUUUACAUUCCCAACAAGCUGCAGGGUGUAAAACCCCCGGGGCUCUGCCAGGUUGGGAAUUGCUGUUCCUGCAGAAGGAAUUCCAGGGUGAUGCUGACCUUGGGGCUCCAAGGGCAGAGGGGCAGGAAGGUGUAGGGGAUGUGUUGUGUGCUUGUGGUCCUGCUCAGGGUGAACAGGAGCAGAGCUGUCUUUGUCAGAUCUGAUUUUGCACAGAGGACGCAGGGGGGACUGCUGUGCCCCACGUGUGCUGCACAGAGGAGCCUGCACAGCCGCCUGUUGCUCCUCCAAGCCACAAGCAUGCAAGAAACAUUUGCUUUUAAAUGCCUGGAAGUAUUUUCACGUUGUUAAAGUGACCUCUUCUUCACCAUGUGCCUUCUUGAGAGCUGUUGUGCUAUUUUUGCUCCAAAUUUCGAAACAAAUCCCACCCCCUAAGGCAGAAACCAAGAGCAGGAGCCAUCAGGAACUGUCAGCUUUGCUGAGCUAACCAAAAACUGAGAUUUCCAGCGAAAGCCUUUGACUUCUGGUGUUCACCUCGAAGCAACAGGCUGCAAGCCCCA